UGGGGGAUAUUGCACAAUGGAGGAAACUCUGAUGCAGCAACGCCGCGUGAGGGAAGAAGGUCUUCGGAUUGUAAACCUUAGUAGUCAGGGACGAAAGAAAUGACGGUACCUGAAGAGUAAGCUCCGGCUAACUACGUGCCAGCAGCCGCGGUAAUACGUAGGUGGCAAGCGUUGUCCGGAUUUACUGGGCGUAAAGGAUGCGUAGGCGGAUACUUAAGUCAGAUGUGAAAAUCCCGGGCUUAACUUGGGAACUGCAUUUGAAACUGGGUAUCUAGAGUGCGGGAGAGGAAAGUGGAAUUCCUAGUGUAGCGGUGAAAUGCGUAGAGAUUAGGAAGAACACCAGUGGCGAAGGCGACUUUCUGGACCGUAACUGACGCUGAGGCAUGAAAGCGUGGGGAGCAAACA
rnacentral:rRNA from 1 species